rnacentral:hammerhead_ribozyme from 1 species
AGCCGAAACGCGACCGGACGACGCCGGCGCGUCGCGGCGGGUGGUUCCCGCCGCCUGAUGAUGGCAGCCAAAC